UACGGCCGUAUAACUUCUAAAUACCGGUUCCUGUACGAUCACCGAAUAUAAGCAACGUCGAGCCUGUUCAGUACCUAGAUGCGUGACCACUUGGGAAUACCAGGUGCUGUAAG